GUGAGCCGCAUGCAGGGAGACUCGCACGUACGGUUUUUAGGGGGAUCUGGUCGAAAGACUGGCCGGCGCCCACCCGAC
rnacentral:ncRNA from 1 species